GAUGAACGCUAGCGGCAGGCUUAACACAUGCAAGUCGAGGGGUAUUUAUCUUCGGAUAGAGAGACCGGCGCACGGGUGCGUAACGCGUAUGCAAUCUACCUUUUACAGAGGGAUAGCCCAGAGAAAUUUGGAUUAAUACCUCAUAGUAUAUAGACUCGGCAUCGAGAUUAUAUUAAAGUCACAACGGUAAAAGAUGAGCAUGCGUCCCAUUAGCUAGUUGGUAAGGUAACGGCUUACCAAGGCUACGAUGGGUAGGGGUCCUGAGAGGGAGAUCCCCCACACUGGUACUGAGACACGGACCAGACUACUACGGGAGGCAGAAGUGAGGAAUAUUGGACAAUGGGCGCAAGCCUGAUCCAGCCAUGCCGCGUGCAGGAUGACGGUCCUAUGGAUUGUAAACUGCUUUUAUACGAGAAGAAACACUGCUACGUGUAGCAGCUUGACGGUAUCGUAAGAAUAAGGAUCGGCUAACUCCGUG
rnacentral:rRNA from 1 species